AGGGUGAACCAGGUACCAGGGGCCAACCAGGCAUGCCUGGGCUGUUUGGACCAGGAGGCAAAACCAGGAUGAGAGGAGCCAAAGGCCAGAAAGGACUGUUGGGACACAGUGGUCCACCUGGCAGUAUUGGCCCCCCUGGAGAAAUUGGACCAGCAGCAUUGGGUUUACCUGGUGAGAAAGGAAUUAGUGGUGAAACUGGACUGCCUGGGCCAAAGG